GGAGUGGGUAUAGCUUAGUGGUUGAGUGCCUGCUUCACAUGUAGGUGGUCUUGGGUUCAAUCCCCAGUACCUCCU
rnacentral:tRNA from 1 species